UACGGGGGGGGCAAGCGUUGUUCGGAAUUACUGGGCGUAAAGCGCACGUAGGCGGCUUUUUAAGUCAGGGGUGAAAUCCUGGAGCUCAACUCCAGAACUGCCUUUGAUACUGGGAAGCUUGAGUCCGGGAGAGGUGAGUGGAACUCCGAGUGUAGAGGUGAAAUUCGUAGAUAUUCGGAAGAACACCAGUGGCGAAGGCGGCUCACUGGCCCGGUACUGACGCUGAGGUGCGAAAGCGUGGGGAGCAAACAGG
rnacentral:rRNA from 1 species